AAAUUGAAGAGUUUGAUCAUGGCUCAGAUUGAACGCUGGCGGCAGGCCUAACACAUGCAAGUCGAACGGUAGCACAGAGAGCUUGCUCUCGGGUGACGAGUGGCGGACGGGUGAGUAAUGUCUGGGAAACUGCCUGAUGGAGGGGGAUAACUACUGGAAACGGUGGCUAAUACCGCAUAACGUCGAAAGACCAAAGAGGGGGACCUUCGGGCCUCUUGCCAUCAGAUGUGCCCAGAUGGGAUUAGCUUGUUGGUGAGGUAACGGCUCACCAAGGCGACGAUCCCUAGCUGGUCUGAGAGGAUGACCAGCCACAC
rnacentral:rRNA from 1 species